AUUAUUAGAAAUUUUUAUCAACAGCUAUAUGCCAAUAAACUAAGCAAUCUGGAAGAGAUGGAAUCCUUCCUGGAAACCUAUAAACUACCAAGAUUGAAACCGGAAGAAAUUGAUUCCUUAAACAGGCCAAUUAAUUAUGAGAAAUUGAGUCAGUGAUAAACAAAUAACAAAACUCCAGGCCCGGACGGUUUUCCUGGGGAAUUCUACCAAACAUUCAAAGAAGAAAAAGCUAUUUCAAAAAAUAGAAACAGAAAAAGCUACCAAACUCAUUCUAUGAGGCCAAUAUUACCUUGAUCCCCAAACCAGGCAAAGACCCCAUCAAAAAGGGAAUUACAGACCGAUUUCCCUAAUGAAUAUGGACGCCAAAAUCCUCAACAAGAUACUUGCUAAUAGAACAACAGUUCAUUAAAAGGAUUAUCCACCACGAUCAAGUGGGAUUCAUACCCAUGCCCACGAAAGUGACUCUAAUAAUUCUGACACACGAUAGCUAGGACCCAAACUGGGAUUAGAUACCCCACUAUGCCUAGCCCUAAACCCAAAUAGUUACAUAACAAAACUAUUCGCCAGAGUACUACUCGCAACUGCCUAAAACUCAAAGGACUUGGCGGUGCUUCACAUCCACCUAGAGGAGCCUGUUCUAUAAUCGAUAAACCCCGAUAGACCUUACCAACCCUUGCCAAUUCAGCCUAUAUACCGCCAUCUUCAGCAAACCCUAAAAAGGAACAAUAGUAAGCACAAUCAUAACACAUAAAAACGUUAGGUCAAGGUGUAGCUUAUGGGUUGGAAAGAAAUGGGCUACAUUUUCUACAUAAGAACACCCACCAUACGAAAGUUUUUAUGAAACUAAAAACCAAAGGAGGAUUUAGCAGUAAAUCAAGAAUAGAGUGCUUGAUUGAAUAAGGCCAUGAAGCACGCACACACCGCCCGUCACCCUCCUCAAGCAUGUAGUAAUAAAAAUAACCUAUAUUUAAUUACACAACCAUGCAAGAAGAGACAAGUCGUAACAAGGUAAGCAUACUGGAAAGUGUGCUUGGACUAC
rnacentral:rRNA from 1 species